ACAGCUCUCGAGCCACCUUUUCUCGCCCGCUGGAUGUGCGCCCCGAGAUCAUAUUGCCCUGCCUCCUCGAGACCCUCGCGGUUUCAUCGCGAUAGAUGCCGACCCUCCCCUCCAUCGGACCAGAGUUCCUCUCUCGAUCGAUCCAGGAUUAAUUACGAUAACCAGAAAACAUAAAGCAAGGAUACCGGAGUCGAGCUCGAUGGACGUUUAAGAGACCGAAGAAUCAUCGGAGAUGCUGCCGGAACCAUCCGAGAAGAAAUCGGGAACGUGUCGGAAGUUCGCCGAAGAAAUCGUCGGAGGCUCGCGGAGAUCACCGAGAAGGCUCGGCUACUCGUUAAAAGUCAUCACAAAGAUUGGGAGCUUGCAGGGAGUCCGUCGGAAGAAGUUCGUCGGAAAGCUCGCCGGAACAAGACUCGACGUUCGCGGUUAAAAAUUUGCUUAGGAUGUGUUUUGGUUAUGUAGUCCACUUGUAAUUAGGAUUAGGAUUAAGAGAUAAUCCCAUAUCCUGGUUAGGGGCCAACUGGGCCCAAAGUCAGAGUUGGUUUAGGCUAAAAAUUAAGCUAAACCAGCGAACUAGAAAGCCAAGAUUGAAGCCCAACUAGUGGCUGAAAACACUGUAGUUGGGCUGAAAACACUGUAGGCGGUGGCACCGCCUAGCUGGGCGGUGACACCUCCUUGGCUGGGCGGUUGCACCGUCCAGCACCCGAGCGCUGGGCGGUGGAACCUCCAGCACCGGGAACCCUAAAAGAAUUCAAAUUUUGAAACCCAAAAUUUGAAUCCUCUUGAGGCCUAUAAAUACCCCUCAAAUCUCAGCUGAGGUUACAACUUUUGAGAAGCAUUUUGAUUGAGAGAAAAGUCUUAGAAAGUCUUAGCAAGUCUUGUUUUCAAUUUGCUAGAGAGUUCUCCUCCUUCUUUUUUAUUGAAAAUUUGUAAGAGGUUGAGCUGCUUGUAAAAGGUUAUAAGAGGGGUGUUUACCCUUCCAUUUCAAGAGACUUGCUAGUGGAAGGUGGGAGCGUCAUCGAAGAGGGGCCUCGCAAGUGGAGUAGGUCAUUUGACCGAACCACUCUAAAAAUCGGCGUAAUCUCUGGUUUGCUUUUUAUUAUUGUCAUUUACAUUACUGCAAAUCUUCUUACUGCUUUAGUUCCUUAUUACUCUUGCUGCACAACUUUAAGAAUACGCCUUCAAGUUAAAUUUCUCAAGUUUCGUUCUUAACGUACGAAAGAUUUUGUUAAAAUCGAAGUUUUAAUCCGCUGCACUAAUUCACCCCCCCCCUCUUAGUGCCGCUCCGAUCCUAACACAUACCUCUUGUUACUUUUACAUAUUCCCAUAUGACAAAGGUAAACCGUCUUUUGUGGAUGUUGGGUCAAUAAGAAUAAGUUGUGUUAUGUCAUGAUGCCAUUAGCAAGAAACUUUAUAUUGUAAGUUUAACUGACUCGUUAUAGCUAACAACUUAGCUAGUCACAAUAUCAUAUGGUUUUUAUAAUAACAACAACAAAGUUGUAAGCCCCAACUAUUUGAGAUCGGUUACAUGAAUCUUUUGCAGUCAUUGAGAUUUGUAAAAAAGUCAUAAGUUUAGUUACAUUUAAAAUAUUUAAAUAUUUACUUACAGUUUUUAUUAAAGCCUUUUUAUGUCUUCCUCUACCUCUCUUCGUACCACUAACCUUAAUCAUUUCACCUCUUUUAACUAUCGCAUCAGGAUGUCUCCCGAGCAUAUGCUCAUAUCAUCUUAAACGAUUUUGUUUUAUCGUAUCUUCUAUCGAAGCACAAUACCUAGUUGUUCAUGAAUAAAAAGUAUUUCUUUUCCUAUAUUUUUUAGUAACUCUAGACAUCCAUCUGGAUAUUUCCUAAACAUAUGCUCAAAUCAUCUUAAACGAUUUUCUUUCAUGUUUUCUUCUAUUGAAGCAAUACCUAAUUGUUCAUGAAUAAAAGUAUUUCUUUUCCUAUAUUUCUUGGUAACUCCACACAUACAUAUCAUUAUUCUCAUCUCGACAACAUAAAGUUUUUAUAUAUGUUGUUUCUUAACUACCCAACACUCAGAUUCAUAAAGUAUUGUUGGUCUCACAAGUCACAAUUUCUUUUUAAUCUCAAAGGCAUCUGAUGAUCACACAAGACUCUUGAUACCCCUUGCCAUUUUAAUCAUCUUGUUUUUAGUCUAUGAACAUUAUCUUCAUCGAUCUUUCCAUUUUGUUGAAUAAUUGAUUCAAGAUACCUAAAGCUUUUACUUAAAGAGACUUUUUGUCCAUUCAACUUCUCUUGUUUCUUUCUAGAAUUACUAAAAUUACAUCUCAUAUAUUCAGUUUUAGUCCUACUUAAUCUAAACCUUUAGUUUAUAAGGAUUGUCUCCAUAGCUCAAGUUUAUAAUUAAUUCCAUUUAGGCUCUCAUCAACUAAGAUAAAAUCAUCAGCAAAUAACAUACAUUAGAGAGGUCCAUCAUGUAAAUGACUAGUAAGUUCUUCUAUUAUCAAUGUGAAAAGGUAGGGACUUAAUACGAAUCCUUUAUGUCAUGUGAUCUAAUAUAGUUUUAUGCUGUUUGUUAGUGGCCUUACACAACCCUCUACCUUUUUUUAUCCAAACUUGGGACCGGCAUUGGCGGUGUUAAUCAAAGGAUUUUUAACAACCCACAAAUAAAGCUAUAUAUUUUUAUAUGCUGGAAAACAGAAAUUAUGAUUUUAUAAAUGUGUUCUUAUCGGAUUAUUCUGUAAACUUGUUCAAAUUUUUUAUUUAUGGAAAAAAAAUCAUAUUAACUUGGCAGUUGUUGUUCUGGGGUGCUGCCAAACUAUCUAGAUGACAUAGUUGCUGAAGAUGAGAUAUUGUCCAUCCUGAAUGUUCCUCCUAGGAAAAUGGGGCGAGUUAUUAGGAGAAGGGAGCCUUUAUCCAGUCUGUGAAGGAAGCUUGCAAGUGUAUUUCAUUGGGCCUGUGAUGCAAGGAAAGCUAAAGCAAUAAUCGGAGGGUGUAUGCUUGAAAUAUAGCUUCUUCCCGUGGGAACUUCAGCUGAUCAUCCUACUAGAACAAGGGAUGGCUUUGAGCAUCUUUUUUUUCUGGAAAAACAAAUUGCAUGAGAUUGUUGUUAAUCUAUUGUAAAAAACAAGUAUAUUGACAGUCUCGCUCAAGUUGUGUUUUCCUUCUCUACAUAGUUGGAUGGCAUAUUAAUUUAAAGGAGUCUGUUCCCUUUUUGUUGUGGUAAGAAUCAUAUGCUUCCACAGCAAACAAAGAACUGCUGUGGUUAUCAUUUUGUCCGUGAUGAUGAAAGUUCAGUAAGUGGUAGGUGAUGCUUUGGACAUUGGACAAUGAUGGAACCAUGUGUUGCAUCCAUGUACCAGAGUUCAAGCUUGUCCACCUCCAGCAUCCGAUGCGUGUGCUAUCUCAUCCACUUCAACUUGCGAUAGGUGUUGGGGAGCGCGGUGUGGGCUGCCGCAAAGCUGACCACCGGAGCUACUGGUUUAGCGGGCACGGUAGAAAGCGAUCACCAUGUGGCAGUGACGACGGCAGCGGGUCAAUUCAGAUUUAUCGGCCUCUACUCAUCUGUCACUACUCACUCGUCCUCUCAAGUCAUGUUGUAGAUUCUUCGGUCAAGGUAGAGCCGAUGCCCACUCUAUUUUCUUGAUUCUUUGUUGACAGUGGUCCUAAGGAGGCGACGCGGAUCUAUGUUGGAGCUUUCCCUUUAAGAUGUCGAACCCAUUGCAUAAGAUUCAGGUAUGUAAUAAUUUUACCCUUACAAAUGGCGUUACUGUUUUCAGGUAAGCAGAAAUCUCCCACAAUUCUCAGCUAACUACUUUGUGACCGAGUACAAUGAAAGAUAUGCUCCAAAAGAGGUGUGUCGAUGUGAAUGCUCAAAUCAUUUUAUAGUCAAUGACAGUUUUUUAAGGGAGAACAAAAAACAAAAAAAAAACAUUAAGCUAUGCUAUUGAGAGAACAUCAGACUUGCGAAUGUGCAUUUAAGUUCCAGAGCUAAAUUAUCCUUCCAAUUAGAUUAAUCUUGAUUUUUGUAUAGGUAAAAA